UACGUAGGUGGCGAGCGUUGUCCGGAUUUACUGGGCGUAAAGAGCGCGCAGGCGGCUGGUCAAGUCCGAUGUGAAAGCUCCCGGCUUAACUGGGAAAUUGCAUCGGAAACUGAUCGGCUGGAAGGUGGGAGAGGGUAGCGGAAUUCCCGGUGUAGUGGUGAAAUGCGUAGAUAUCGGGAGGAACACCAGUGGCGAAAGCGGCUACCUGGCCCAUUCUUGACGCUGAGGCGCGAAAGCUAGGGGAGCAAACGGG
rnacentral:rRNA from 4 species